UUAGCGUUUAAAAGGAACACAAUUGCCCUAAAAAAUUCCAUUUCCGAUUACGAAAGUAGUUGGAAACAAACUCUGGGUUGCAAUACGAAAACCUCUUGAAAUUGGAAGAGUUUUCUUUAUUUCUGAUCAUACCAAACAGCUGAUUAUUCCGACCAUUUUUGAGACAAUUUAAAUUUGUUGGAUAUCUUCGCCAGAGGUUCACCUCUUGGUUCCCGACCGUCCUGUCUACUUCACAGCUGCUCAAGCUUGAAUUCCCAAAUCUUCUCUUCACUUCCUUCAACUCCUUCUCACCUGUAUUACCUGCAAAACGAGAAAGAAAACAGCAAGUAAAAGGAACCAAAAGAGAGUUAAAGAAGAUAAAAACCAAGAGAGAGAUUUCAGCUGUGGAAAAGUGUGUCUUGGAGACACAGGUGGCUCAAAUUUUCCCACGGAGACGAAGUACUUUCGGCAACAACACCAACCACAGCCACAAGGUAGAUCAAUGGUGAGAACACCGCACGAAGCUCACACAAUCAGUCACCAAACAGGAAACCACAGACAAGAAUCCGGCGACACAGGAAAGGAAUAGCAGAGCCUUUCAGAGAGUGAAUCUCGUGUGUUGUUGCUUGCAUUGAUCGCAGGGAAUGGAGGGGUUAAGAAGGGAGAGAGCCAGGGCCGUUUCUGACGAAAAAUGGGCCCAGGGCGAAACGAUAAAAAUGGACCCUCUAUUCACCAUCAUAACAACACAAAAAAAAACACUUUUUUAAAGUCAUAUUAUAAUAUUUCGGUAAAAAUAUAUUAAUAAUUAUAAAAAAAUGACUUAUUCUCGCCUUUUUUACUUGCAAAGUCAUCUAUAAGAACAUUUGUUUCAAUAUUUUUUAAGAUAUAUUUUUUAAUACAAAAAAUUGCUAAACUAUUUAAUCUUUUUUGCCAUAUCGACGUUUUUAAAUAUGUCUUCAAUAAUUUUAACUUCCAUAAACUCUUCUCAGCCGAAGCUACUGUUACAGACAUAGUUAACAAUAUUGCAACAUUUGGAUAACAAUCUGUAAUUUUCAUAAAUUCAAGAAUUUCAAUAGUUGAAGUUAUUUUAUUUGAUAAUUUCAUUUGUAAUAUUUUUAAUUCAAUAAAUAAAUCAUCUAACUCAUAUAAUGAGUAAAAGUACAUUUAAAAUUAACACAUUAAUGUCUUAAUUUUUCACUAUCCAAAAAUUUUAAAGUUUUCGAAUCAAAUGAAAAACCAAAUAUAUGAUCAAAUGAUUUCAUUUCUUUAAAUCUACAUUUUAAAGAAGUAAUCGUUAUGUCCACAACAACUACAAAAUAUUCAAAUUCUAAAUGACAUUUUAUUAAAAAUGUUGGCUCCAUAUUCAUAUUAGAUGCAAAAACUCUUAGCAAUAGUCAAACUUGUAUUAGAUAUUAGACCUUCUAAUUGUUUCAUGAUAGAGUCAAUGCGCAUAGUAUACACAAAAAAUGAUAUUAGACCUUAUAAUUUUUGGGGGCCCCAAAAUUAUUCAGGAUGAAAUUUUUUGGGCCUCAUUUUUUUUAUUCAAUGCUAAUAGUAUACACAAGAAGAAAGUUAAGCCAAUAAUAAUAAUAGUAUAUAUAAGAAAAUAACAAAAAAUUUGGGCCCCCAAAAAUGAUGGGUCCUGGGCGGUCGCCCAUGCUGGCCCGCCCUCAGAGACGGCCCUGGAGAGAGCAUUGAAGGCGUUUGUGUAAUCGAGGGUUCGGGGAGAUGAAAGGGUGGAGAGGAUCUGAUUAGUGUAAAAGUGAGGAGGCGGAGGGAGAAAAG
rnacentral:lncRNA from 1 species